GACGAACGCUGGCGGCGUGCUUAACACAUGCAAGUCGAACGGAAAGGCCCUGCUUUUGUGGGGUGCUCGAGUGGCGAACGGGUGAAUAACACGUGAGUAACCUGCCCUUGACUUUGGGAUAACUUCAGGAAACUGGGGCUAAUACCGGAUAGGAGCUCCUGCUGCAUGGUGGGGGUUGGAAAGUUUCGGCGGUUGGGGAUGGACUCGCGGCUUAUCAGCUUGUUGGUGGGGUAGUGGCUUACCAAGGCUUUGACGGGUAGCCGGCCUGAGAGGGUGACCGGCCACAUUGGGACUGAGAUACGGCCCAGACUCCUACGGGAGGCAGCAGUGGGGAGUAUUGCACAAUGGGCGGAAGCCUGAUGCAGCAACGCCGCGUGCGGGAUGACGGCCUUCGGGUUGUAAACCGCUUUCGCCUGUGACGAAGCGUGAGUGACGGUAAUGGGUAAAGAAGCACCGGCUAACUACGUG
rnacentral:rRNA from 1 species